GACGAACGCUGGCGGUGUGCCUAAUACAUGCAAGUAGGACGCAGUUGCGAACGGGUGAGUAACGCGUAGGUAACUACCUAUUAGAGGGGGAUAACUAUUGGACACGCUAGAUAAUACAGCAUACUAGUAGAUGGACCUGCGUUGUAUUAGCUAGUAGGUAGGAUAAUGGCCUACCUAGGCAACGAUACAUAGCCGACCUGGGAGGGUGAGCGGCAACACUGGGACUUGGACUCGGCCCAGACUCCGACGGGAGGCAGCAGUAGGGAAGCUUCGGCAAUGGGGAGAACCCUGACCGAGCAACGUCGCGGGAGUGAAGAAGGUUUUCGGAUCGUAUAGCUCGGUUGUUAAGGAAGCGGUACUUAACCAGAAAGGGACGGCUAACUACGUGCCAGCAGCCGCGGUAAUUG
rnacentral:rRNA from 1 species